AGCUGGAUAGCUCACUUGGUUAGAGCGUGGUGCUAAUAAUGCCAAGGUGGUGAGUUCGAUCCCUGUAUGGGAAAGCUG